rnacentral:rRNA from 1 species
GAUCAUGGCUCAGGACGAACGCUGGCGGCGUGCUUAACACAUGCAAGUCGAACGAAGAGCGACGGAAGCUUGCUUCUAUCAAUCUUAGUGGCGAACGGGUGAGUAACGCGUAAUCAACCUGCCCUUCAGAGGGGGACAACAGUUGGAAACGACUGCUAAUACCGCAUACGAUCUAAUCUCGGCAUCGAGGAUGGAUGAAAGGUGGCCUCUACAUGUAAGCUAUC